AUACGUAGGGGGCGAGCGUUGUCCGGAAUGAUUGGGCGUAAAGGGCGCGUAGGCGGCGCGGUAAGUCUGGAGUGAAAGUCCCGCAUUCAAUGUGGGAAUUGCUUUGGAUACUGCAGUGCUAGAGUGCGGAAGAGGUAAGUGGAAUUCCCAGUGUAGCGGUGAAAUGCGUAGAGAUUGGGAGGAACACCAGUGGCGAAGGCGACUUACUGGGCCGUAACUGACGCUGAGGCGCGAAAGCGUGGGGAGCGAACAGGAUUAGAUACCCUGGUAGUCCACGCGGUAAACGAUGAAUGCUAGGUGUUGCGGGUAUCGACCCCUGCAGUGCCGGAGUAAACACAAUAAGCAUUCCGCCUGGGGAGUACGGCCGCAAGGUUGAAACUCAAAGGAAUUGACGGGG
rnacentral:rRNA from 1 species